GACGGGGCCCGCACAAGCGGUGGAGUAUGUGGUUUAAUUCGAUGCAACGCGAAGAACCUUACCUACCCUUGACAUGUCCGGAAUCCCGAAGAGAUUUGGGAGUGCUCGCAAGAGAGCCGGAACACAGGUGCUGCAUGGCUGUCGUCAGCUCGUGUCGUGAGAUGUUGGGUUAAGUCCCGCAACGAGCGCAACCCUUGUCAUUAGUUGCCAUCAUUUGGUUGGGCACUCUAAUGAGACUGCCGGUGACAAACCGGAGGAAGGUGGGGAUGACGUCAAGUCCUCAUGGCCCUUAUGGGUAGGGCUUCACACGUCAUACAAUGGUCGGUACAGAGGGUUGCCAACCCGCGAGGGGGAGCUAAUCCCACAAAGCCGAUCGUAGUCCGGAUCGCAGUCUGCAACUCGACUGCGUGAAGUCGGAAUCGCUAGUAAUCGUGGAUCAGCAUGUCACGGUGAAUACGUUCCCGGGUCUU
rnacentral:rRNA from 1 species